ensembl:lncRNA
AAAAAAAAAAAAAAAGAAAGAAAGAAAGAAAGGAAGAAAGAAAGAAAGAAAAAGAAAGAAAGAAGGAAAAAGACAUUCUGCUGGCACUCUACAGAAAUAUUGAAUGAAUUCUGCUUAGAGGAUCUCUGAGACUGCUUACUGCUAAGAUUUCUCUGACCAUCCACAUUACAGUAUUGUAAAUCUCAUAGAAUCAUAGAAUUGUUUGAGUUUGAAGGGACCUUUAAAGGCCAUCUAGUCACACCCCUGCAGUGAACAGGGACACCUACAGCUCUAUCAGGGUGCUCAGAGCCCUGUCCAGCCUGACCUUGGGUAUCUGUUUUCCUGGUUCAGAAGAAAGGAAUGAAUUUCAUCCUUUUUAGCCACUCCUCUAAAACAGACAGACAGAUUUUCUCUAUUAUCUCCUGAAACAUAGCACAAACUUAAACACGGGAUAUCUUGUUACAGUGCCUUAGUGCAUUACUAAAAUAAAUUUGUUAAAAUUUACGGUAUCUCUAUAUGAACAAAGAAGGGGGUUUUCAUGUUACCUCGGGAAAAAGGGAAAUCUUUUUGACAUCUGCAGCUCACGGGGAGGGCAGUACUGCGUGGAAGAGAUAUACGUGUGACACGUAUAACCAAGAUGCUCCGAGUUAUGGGAAAACAAACACCAAAGAGUGAGAGAGACUUUUUUACUUAUAUAGAAAUAGCUUCAGGGGAAAUCUGAGGAUUAUAAAACACCAAAAUGCUUGACUGAGAGUUGUUUACUUGGGGAGGGGCACCAGCAACGCACCCUCAGAAUUAUUCUAGUAAACAUGUCUUCAAACCUCUCUUCCACUAGAGGUGAGCUUCUUUUUCCUAGGGCUGUGCCAUCGUGGCCUUGACCACAUAACUCUGUCUCUAAAUUCAUUAAUUAGCAGAAGUGUAUCUCGGCUAUUAAGUGAUUUAUUUUAUGAAAUCAAUAGCUCAUUGAGGAUGUGUUUUUUUUCCACAGCCCUUUCCAGGCUGCUUGGCAACUGUCCCAUAAAUCAGUUCUACCAAGGUGCUGUGCCUUCCAGAGAUAGUCACUUUAAUGGCAGCAAUUUAGUUGUACGGGCCUGAACUUUGGAAUAGAAGUUUGCAUAACAGUUACCGGUCUACCCCAAGGAUACCAGCUACUGAUAUCAAAAACUUACUCGCAUGUGAAUUUCUUCAUUGAUGGACUCCUUUUUGUUGGUCUUUUUAACAUCCAGAUAUCUGACCAAUGGCCCAAUUGUGAUUCCCUGCAUUUGGAAAAAUGUGUUGAAAUGUUAAAAUGUUAAUAAACUUUCAAAAAAAAAAAAAAAAAAAGAGAGAGAGAGAAAAACAAGUAAAUUGAUUUCAUUUUAAUCAGAAAAUUUGUCUCUUAGAGUAAUCAGGGGCAUAUAUAUAUGGCUGUUUUUUAUUCAAGAUUGUAUUUAUCAAGGCAUUUUAAUUACGUAAGGUAACUGACUCUGUCAAAUAUCACAAAAAAAAAAAAAAAACUUCACUUGAAUAAAAACAUUGUCUUUGUGAGGUCCCUACAAUCUUGAAACUUUUUACUUCAAUAUUUUCAAGAUUAUUAUUUUUUUAAUGUUGAAACCAUUUUCAGCUGCUCCCAAUUCCCUACUGCACUACUAGAGAAUCUGGCAUUUAAAAAGUGGAUACAGAAACAAAACUGGUUUACUGAAACAUUCUGAUGGGAUCUAAGUGCCUAACCACCAGUGUGUAGAGUUUCAUGGACACCCUGAAGUAUCUGAGAUCUUUGUAUGGGGAAAUAAAGACCAUGGGACAUCCAAAAGAUCCAGUUCCUCUUUGCAGGGCACUAUAAGCCAAGUGGAAUAACCUAGUCACUUUGGUUAUGUGAAAGCAACUCACUAAGAAAUACAGUUACCUGGAUAAACACGGUAAAAUAUAUAACUACAAGUGUAGCAGUAAUGAACAAUUUUUUUCUGGGGAAGAGUUUCCCUGGAAGCAAGAACGCAAGAGAAAAGCUGCUGGCUCCUCGAAGACCACUGUAGGAAAUAAUGAGUUGGUCUUUGAAGGUCAAUGGGUAUGUUCGGAACUUGUUACUAAUGUAGAAGAGGGCAAAUACACCUAAAAAGGCCAAAAAACAAACAACAACAUAACAAACAAACAAACAAAAAGCAUUAUUAUUAGGCAAGCAGGAAAAGACAAUAUUUAAAGCAGAAAGACAUCUUGUCCGAGGCAGCUGUUGACAGACAUUUCUUUUGAUUUUUGGUUCUUUAAGUUCUCUUUGACCAACUGCUGAAUCUGCCUUACGUGAAAAAAUAUCUUAGAAAAGGAGUAUAUUUACUAACUGCUUCAAGUUUUAAAUGUACGUAUGGGCUUUGAAGUGAGAUUAGGGGAAAAGAUUUACUUCCUAUAUCUAUGUUGCAUAGUUCUCUGAAAUGUUCUGGAAAAGAGGUAAACCACUAGAAAACAUUUUUUCCUGUGCUUUCCCUUGCAGUGUUUCCUGCUUUCUGCACAUGAUCUGCCCAAAGUGUUUGAACAGUUAUUUAUUAACAUGUCCUGUGGACAAGUUUACUGAAAGGCAGAAAGUAAUAGCAUUUUAAUUUUGAAUCCUCCAGUUUAUUGUCUCUGUAAUUCUGUUUAUUUCUUAGCUUUUAUUUCCCUGUUAAUCAAAAGUUAAUCAGACAUUCUGUGGCAGUGUAAGGACUGCAGUUUUUGCUUUAUAGAGUACAUUUAGUCAAUUGCUUGAAUUUCUCUUAAUCUUCUUUAUUAUAAGACACAUGCAUCUCGUGAUUUUGUGUAAACUGUUACAUUGCAGAAAUAAAUGUUGAAUACUGGACAGAUAAGCACUAUGCUAGACUGAAACUAUGUUAUGGAGAUGUCACCUUUGGACCAUUUCUUUUUACCUUAUUCAAGCUACAGAGAAAAUGAUGCAAUCAUUUUAGCAAGCAAGUUCAAGAUAAAUAUUUUGGCCUUCCUCAGGAAAAGUCUAGCACUCACCUAGGUGUCUGAGAGAUAAACGAACAUGAGGCAGAAAAGCGACUUUUGUACUACAAAAGCAAUUUUUCUGUCUUUAUCUGAAGGAUAUUCCUAUAUGGACUCCAAAAUUAAGCCUUUAAAAACUCACAGACUAUGAUUUGUCCAAAAUUAGCAAGAAAAUAUUUAAUAGUUACUGCCUUCUUGCUGCCAACCCACAAGAGUCAUAUCACCUCUGUUGCUGACUACUUAUGUAAUCACUAUGUAACAGAGCUGUUCUCAUGCAUAUUUUUAAAUCUCCAUAGGCCUUCCUCGUUUUCCUCUAGUUAAAUGCUUUCCUCCAGGUCUUGAAUUUCAAAGAUCUUGAAUUCUAUCAACUUUGAGGGUCAAACCAAUAUUUCUUCCUGCUUUGUUAUUCUGUUUGACAUAGGAAUGAACUACUUCGGGUUCUACGAAAUGUCAUCUGAACGUCAGUUCCUCAGUGCUAACACUUGGUACCAGACUCAGGGGACUGUACGUUGGAAAGGAACUUUGAAGGUCAUUUAGUUCAAACUCCUGCUCAAAGAGCAUCUAAUCAGGUCAGGCUGUUCAGAGUUCCAAUCAAGUCUUGAACGCACUCAAGGACUGGGAGCUGUGCUGUAUUUACAACAAUGGAGCACUCUUACAUUAAGAAAUGAGUUCCUACUCUCCAUUUAAAGUUUUCAGUGUUUCAGCUUGUGUCUGUUGCCUCUUAUCCUAUUGGGGUGCACCUCUAUGAAGUCUGGCUUCAUCAUCUCUCUGUCCUCUGACUGAGUACUUGUAGAUAUCAAUAGGGUCUACUCCAUGCUACCUCUUUUUCAGGCUGAGCAGAGCCACCUCUCUCAUACUCUUCUUGUAUGUCCAGUGCUCACCACUUUGGCAGCCUCCAGUGCACUUACUCCUUGACCUCUUUAAUGGGGAGUCCAAAACUGAGCACAGCAUUCCAGACACAGCAGAUACUCUUACCAUUGCUGAACAGAGAGGAAGAAACUCUUCCUUGGAACUACUGGCUACACACUUGCUAGUAAAAUGCAGGAUGCAGUUGUCUCCCUUUUCCAAAAAGGCACACUUAAGACUUUUGUUCAGCCUGCUGUCUACCUAGUGAGGUCCUUCUCUGCAAAGCUACUUCUAGCCUGUGUUAGUACAUAGAGUUAUUGCAACCAAGAUGCCAACCCCUACAUUCGCUUUUUCUGAGUUUUUGAGCAGUCUUUCAGCCCUUUUUCCCAGUCUGUUCAGUUCUCAUUGAAUACUAGCCUUACCAUCCAUUAUAUUGACUACUCCCCUCAGCUUGAUGUCAGCUGCAAACUCACUGAGUGUGCACUCCAUUCCAUCCUCCAAGACAUUAAUGAAAGCUAUCUUGAUACCUCCAGUGAACCCUGAGGGAUGUCACUAGAAUCACAGAAUAAUAGAAUCACAGAAUGGUUUAAGUUGGACGGGACCCUUAGGAUCAUCUAUUCUAGGACCGUGCUAUAGGCAGGGACACCUCCCACUAGACCAGGUUGCUCAAAGCCCCAUCCAGCCUAGCCUUGAACACAUUCACAGCCUCCCUGGGCAGCAGGUUCCAGUGUCUCACCACCCUCAUAGAAAAGAAUUCAUUCUUAAUAUCUAGUCUAAAUCUACCCUCUUCCAGUUUAAAACCAUUUUCCCUUGUCCUGUUGCCACAUUCCCUUAUAAUAAGUCCCUCCCCAGCUUUCUGUAGGCCCCCUUCAGGUACUGCGAAGCUGCUAUAAAGUCCUCCCAGAGCCUUCUCUUCUCCAGUCUGAAGAGCCCCAAUUCUUUCAGCCUGUUACUGUAGAGGAGAUGCUCCAGCCUUCUGGUCACCUUCGUGACCCUCCUCUGGACCCACUCCAACAGCUUCAUGUCUUUCUUGUGCUGGGGGACCAGAACUGGACAUAGUACUCCAAGUGGGUUCUCAUGAGAGCAGAGUAGAGAUGCAGAAUCACCUCCCUCGACCUGCUGGUCACAGUUAUCUUGAUGCAAUCCAGGAUACGGUUAGCCGUCAUCCUGAUGUUUGUCUGCUAGCUCACGUCUCUCAGUAUUUUAUCCUUCACAGUCUCACGAUCACUGCAGUCAGAGCUGCUCUUGAUCUUCACAUCUUCAGAUGUUCCUUCCUUCUAUGCGAGUAGAAGAAAAGACAAAGCAUAUUUCAUGGUUGUUUCAUUGACAACUGUAUCAAGAAAUUUUCUUCAACAUUUUUCAGAAAACUCCUGGAUAGCCUUAUCGCCCUCCUAACAGAUACUGGCAUAGUUAAAGUCUCCCAUGAGUAUCAGGGUCUAUAAUGCUUUCUCCAGUGCAUAAGCAAUGCUCUGCCCGUCUCCUUUUCUAGAUCAGAAGAUCUGCAGUAGGCAGCUAUUAAAACAUCAGAUGUACUGGUCUCUCUGAAUCACUGGUCCUCUGAUUAUUAUGCACAUACUCUCUGUUGGCUCCUCACCUUUGCCAAGAGAAAGCUCCAUGCAUUCAACCUGUACCUUUACAAAGAGCACAGUUCAUCCUCCUUGUCUUCCCAUUCUGUCUUUCUCAGCUUUUCAAAAUUUCUGCUGGCCCAUCCUGGUCAUCAGGAGAAGAUGAGAAAUGGUGUCCCACAGCUAUUGUGACAUCGUCUAGGAAAUCCUCUGCCCAUGCUCGAGGAAUCAUAGUCUCAUAGAUGAGAAAGUAGGAGACCUUUGUAGGAACGGGAAAAUACUGUGUGUAGAAAUUGAAUAAUUUCAUAGGCACUAUUUUCUAGUGGUUUAAAACCUCAGAGUGUCCAAAAUGACUUGUGAGGAUCUUUAUUAUAGAGUGGAUCACAACCUUGUGCAGUGGUAUCGUCUUGAGGAAGUGUGGCUGAAAGUCUUCCUGGAAGAAAAGGACCUGGGGGUGAUGGUCGGCAGCUGGCUGAACACAAGCCAGCAGUGUGCUCAGGUGGCCUCUAUCUUGCACAAGAAAAGAAUUAUAUGUAGUCCAGUCAUCUAUCAAUUGCUUUCACCUUUUGUCUUUUUAAAUUCCUCAGGCAUUCCUAGCUCUGGUCCGUUAGUGUUAUGGACCCAGGAUCAGAAUUGUGCUAAUGUACAUUGUACAAAUUCUGUAAUUAGUAAGUUAAUUACAGAAUGCAGUGAAAACAUUAUGAAGCCCACUCACUAAGCUGUCUGCUUCUAUAUAGAUGGAAUCAUGGCAAUGUUUCAAUUUUGCUUAACAUUUUCUGCUCUUACCUAAUCAUAUAGUCUGUGCUUGAAAACUGGCAUUAGGAUUUGUUUGAUGUUUUCCCUCUUUUUCUGUAUGUGUGGAUUUGUGAAAUGAAGCUGCCUGUAAUGCAUUCCUGGUAAAUUCAUUAUUAAACCGGUUAUACCAGUCUGCACAGGCUUUUCUAACAUACCUUUGCACCAAAAGGUUUCUCUCAGAGAUGCAGACCAGGUUGUCCGCAAAAGCUGACUUACUCAGUGUUCGCCAAAUGAGGCAGAAAAGCAGAGUGAAGCAAAUGAAGCCCAGUUCCACUCAUGAUUUUUCCCCACUGUAGAUACUCCCAUGAAAACAAAGAUCAAGGUCUCGCUGAUACUGCUCAACAUCUUCAUGAAGUAUUUUAUUGUCGUGUAGGAAUUCUGGCAAACAUUCUCUUCCACGUAUUUUUUCAUAGUCACUGCACAUGCU